rnacentral:rRNA from 1 species
UUGGAGGGCAAGUCUGGUGCCAGCAGCCGCGGUAAUUCCAGCUCCAAUAGCGUAUAUUAAAGUUGUUGCAGUUAAAAAGCUCGUAGUUGAAUUUCGGGAUCAGUACGCCGGUCGUGCCUUCGGUAUGCACUGGUGUCACUGGUUUCUCCCUUCUGAAGAACCACCAUGCCAUUCAGUCGGUGUGGCGGGGAAUCAGGACUGUUACUUUGAAAAAAUUAGAGUGUUUAAAGCAGGCUCGCGCUUGAAUACAUUAGCAUGGAAUAAUGAAAUAGGACGUUUGACCCUAUUUUGUUGGUUUCUAGGAUCGACGUAAUGAUUAAUAGGGAUAGUUGGGGGCAUUAGUAUUCAAUUGUCAGAGGUGAAAUUCUUGGAUUUAUUGAAGACUAACUACUGCGAAAGCAUUUGCCAAGGAUGUUUUCAUUAAUCAAGAACGAAAGUUAGGGGAUCGAAGACGAUCAGAUACCGUCGUAGUCUUAACCAUAAACUAUGCCGACUAGGGAUCGGAUGAUGUUAAUUUUUUAAUGACUCAUUCGGCGCCUUACGGGAAAC